rnacentral:rRNA from 1 species
CCUACGGGUGGCAGCAGUGAGGAAUAUUGGUCAAUGGACGAGAGUCUGAACCAGCCAAGUAGCGUGAAGGAUGACUGCCCUAUGGGUUGUAAACUUCUUUUAUAUGGGAAUAAAAUGUUCCACGUGUGGGAUUUUGUAUGUACCAUAUGAAUAAGGAUCGGCUAACUCCGUGCCAGCAGCCGCGGUAAUACGGAGGAUCCGAGCGUUAUCCGGAUUUAUUGGGUUUAAAGGGAGCGUAGGUGGAUUGUUAAGUCAGUUGUGAAAGUUUGCGGCUCAACCGUAAAAUCGCAGUUGAAACUGGCAGUCUUGAGUACAGUAGAGGUGGGUGGAAUUCGUGGUGUAGCGGUGAAAUGCUUAGAUAUCACGAAGAACUCCGAUUGCGAAGGCAGUUCACUGGACUGCAACUGACACUGAGGCUCGAAAGUGUGGGUAUCAAACAGGAUUAGAUACCCCAGUAGUC